UCCGCUUGCACCUAAAACACUUUUAGGGCAUUUCAAAUUCUGCUCAAAGGUCGGAAAGCUCCUUCCGCCUUCCAGGUUUGUUUUAGUGCCAUUUGUGCGUUAUUUUUAUAAAGUUACCUCAUGAAUUAUUCAUAAACAGAACAGACGUAGCGUAAAGAAAACACUCGAGAUGGAAGGACAAGUUUGCUGGAGGAAGCCUUUAGCAAAUACGAAAAUCAGAUUAAAUUAUGGCAAAGUUUCUAAUUGGUUUGUUAUUAAGACAGCGAUUACCAUAAAUUACAAUUGAAAUAGGCAAAAUGGGUAAAGCAUUCUGUUCUGUUCUACAACAAAUGGCUAAGCAAAUUAACUCUGGCCCUGAAAUGAACAAUGAACAGA